rnacentral:misc_RNA from 1 species
AAGGGAAGCGCGGUGAAAAGCCGCCACUGGUCCGCAACUGUGAUCGGGGACGAAAUCUGCAUAGCCACUGUCCUAUGGGAUGGGAAGGCGCAGAAAGUAGGACGAGCCGAAAGUCAGGAGACCU